CGCCCACCUCGGCCUCCCAAAGUGCUGGGAUUACAGGCGUGAGCCACUGCGCCCAGCCAUGUCUAUCACAUGUAUUUUGCUUUCAUCACAUGUAUUUUG
rnacentral:miRNA from 1 species